rnacentral:rRNA from 1 species
AAAGAAAUCAGUUCAGCACUAAGUCACUUUGUCUAUAUGGCAAAUGUGAGAUGCAGUGUAUGGAACAUCAAUAUUCUAGUAUGAGAAAUUAACGAUUUAAGUCCUUCUUAAAUGAGGCCAUUUACCCAUAGAGGGUGCCAGGCCCGUAUAACGUUAAUGAUUAUUAGAUGGUGUUUCCAAAGAGUCGUGUUGCUUGAUAGUGCAGCACUAAGUGGGUGGUAAACUCCAUCUAAAACUAAAUAUAACCAUGAGACCGAUAGUAAACAAGUACCGUGAGGGAAAGUUGAAAAGAACUCUGAAUAGAGAGUUAAAUAGUACGUGAAACUGCUUAGAGGUUAAGCCCGAUGAACCUGAAUAUCCGUUAUGGAAAAUUCAUCAUUAGAAUUGUAAUAUUUAAUUAAUAUUAUAAUAAUAGUGUGCAUUUUUUCCAUAUAAGGACAUUGUAAUCUAUUAAUAUAACUAAUUUAUCAAAAAGUUGUGAAUUAUUGCUUAUUUAGAUUAUAGUGCUUGCAUUAUAACAUAAAAUAAAUUGUCGUAAAUUUGAUAAAGUGUUGAUAGAUUUAUAUGAAUACUGUGCGUUAAUUUUUCGGAAUUAUAUAAUGGCAUAAUUAUCAUUGAUUUUUGUGUUUAUUAUAUGCACAUGUAUGAU